rnacentral:rRNA from 1 species
UACGGGGGGGGGCAAGCGUUGUUCGGAAUUACUGGGCGUAAAGGGCUCGUAGGCGGCCAACUAAGUCAGACGUGAAAUCCCUCGGCUUAACCGGGGAACUGCGUCUGAUACUGGAUGGCUUGAAUCCGGGAGAGGGAUGCGGAAUUCCAGGUGUAGCGGUGAAAUGCGUAGAUAUCUGGAGGAACACCGGUGGCGAAGGCGGCAUCCUGGACCGGCAUUGACGCUGAGGAGCGAAAAGCCAGGGGAGCAAACGGGG